rnacentral:rRNA from 1 species
UACGUAGGGUGCGAGCGUUAAUCGGAAUUACUGGGCGUAAAGCGUGCGCAGGCGGUUUUGUAAGUCUGUCGUGAAAUCCCCGGGCUCAACCUGGGAACUGCAUUUGUGACUGCAUCGCUGGAGUGCGGCAGAGGGGGAUGGAAUUCCGCGUGUAGCAGUGAAAUGCGUAGAUAUGCGGAGGAACACCGAUGGCGAAGGCAGCCCCCUGGGCCAAUACUGACGCUCAUGCACGAAAGCGUGGGGAGCGAAACAAGG